rnacentral:rRNA from 1 species
GCGCAGAUAAGGCAGUAAGAGCCGUUUGAGUCUGCGAUUUCCGAAUGGGGAAACCCAACUGCAUAAGCAGUUACUGUUAACUGAAUACAUAGGUUAACAGAGCAAACCGGGGGAACUGAAACAUCUAAGUACCCCGAGGAGAAGAAAUCAACCGAGAUUCCGGUAGUAGCGGCGAGCGAACCUGGAUUAGCCCUUAAGCACUCGGUGAAGUAGGUGAACAAGCUGGAAAGCUUGGCGAUACAGGGUGAUAGCCCCGUAACCGACGCUUCAUCGAGCGUGAAAUCGAGUAGGGCGGGACACGUGAUAUCCUGUCUGAAUAUGGGGGGACCAUCCUCCAAGGCUAAAUACUCCUGACUGACCGAUAGUGAACCAGUACCGUGAGGGAAAGGCGAAAAGAACCCCUGUGAGGGGAGUGAAAUAGAACCUGAAACCGUGUACGUACAAGCAGUAGGAGCACCUUCGUGGUGUGACUGCGUACCUUUUGUAUAAUGGGUCAGCGACUUAUAUUCAGUGGCAAGGUUAACCGUAUAGGGGAGCCGUAGCGAAAGCGAGUCUUAACUGGGCGCUCAGUCUCUGGAUAUAGACCCGAAACCGGGUGAUCUAGCCAUGGGCAGGUUGAAGGUUGAGUAACAUCAACUGGAGGACCGAACCGACUAAUGUUGAAAAAUUAGCGGAUGACUUGUGGCUAGGGGUGAAAGGCCAAUCAAACUCGGAGAUAGCUGGUUCUCCCCGAAAGCUAUUUAGGUAGCGCCUCGGACGAAUACUACUGGGGGUAGAGCACUGUUAAGGCUAGGGGGUCAUCCCGACUUACCAACCCUUUGCAAACUCCGAAUACCAGUAAGUACUAUCCGGGAGACACACGGCGGGUGCUAACGUCCGUCGUGGAGAGGGAAACAACCCAGACCGCCAGCUAAGGUCCCAAAGUAUUGCUAAGUGGGAAACGAUGUGGGAAGGCUCAGACAGCUAGGAUGUUGGCUUAGAAGCAGCCAUCAUUUAAAGAAAGCGUAAUAGCUCACUAGUCGAGUCGGCCUGCGCGGAAGAUGUAACGGGGCUAAGCAAUACACCGAAGCUGCGGCAAUGUCUUUUAGACAUUGGGUAGGGGAGCGUUCUGUAAGCCGUUGAAGGUGAAUCGUAAGGUUUGCUGGAGGUAUCAGAAGUGCGAAUGCUGACAUGAGUAACGACAAAGGGGGUGAAAAACCUCCUCGCCGGAAGACCAAGGGUUCCUGUCCAACGUUAAUCGGGGCAGGGUGAGUCGACCCCUAAGGUGAGGCCGAAAGGCGUAAUCGAUGGGAAACGGGUUAAUAUUCCCGUACUUCUGACUAUUGCGAUGGGGGGACGGAGAAGGCUAGGUGGGCCAGGCGACGGUUGUCCUGGUUCAAGUGCGUAGGCUUGAGAGUUAGGUAAAUCCGGCUCUCUCUAAG